GCAUCGAUGAAGAAUGCAGCCAGCUGCAUGAAUUAAUGUGAAUUGCAGGACACAUUGAACAUCGAUAUCUUGAACGCACAUUGCGGCUUCGGGUCACUCCCGGAGCCACGCCUGUCUGAGGGUCGGC
rnacentral:rRNA from 1 species